rnacentral:rRNA from 1 species
UGGGUUAGUGGCGGACGGGUGAGUAACGCGUGGAUAACCUGCCGUAUACAGGGGGAUAACACUUAGAAAUAGGUGCUAAUACCGCAUAAGCGCACGGUUCCGCAUGGAACAGUGUGAAAACUCCGGUGGUAUACGAUGGAUCCGCGUCUGAUUAGCCAGUUGGCGGGGUAACGGCCCACCAAAGCGACGAUCAGUAGCCGGCCUGAGAGGGUGAACGGCCACAUUGGGACUGAGACACGGCCCAAACUCCUACGGGAGGCAGCAG